CCUACGGGAGGCAGCAGUGGGGAAUAUUGCACAAUGGGGGAAACCCUGAUGCAGCGACGCCGCGUGAAGGAAGAAGUAUUUCGGUAUGUAAACUUCUAUCAGCAGGGAAGAAAAUGACGGUACCUGACUAAGAAGCCCCGUCUAACUACGUUCCAGCAGCCGCGGUAAUACGUAGGGGGCAAGCGUGAUCCGGAUUUACUGGGUGUAAAGGGAGCGUAGGCGGUGCAGCAAGUCAGAAUUGAAAGCCCGGGGCUCAACGCCGGGACUGCUUUUGACAUUGUUGAACUAGCUUGCAGGAGAGGUGAGUGGAAUUCGUAGUGUAGCGGUGAAAUGCGUAGAUAUUAGGAGGAACACCAGUGGCGAAGGCGGCUUACUGGACUGUAAAUGACGCUGAGGCUCGAAAGCGUGGGGAGCAAACAGGAGUAGAUACCCGAGUAGUC
rnacentral:rRNA from 1 species